GUCAACUCGGAAACAGCGUUCAAUUAUUCAUACCGUACAAAGCAGCCCCCCAACUUGCUCAUCGUCUCAAGAUAUUCAGAGCAGCAGCACAAGAAAACCUUCCCUCAGCUCAUGGCUACAGCUUCUUGUUCUUGUUCUUCUUCUUCUGCAUCUCAUAGCUCUCGAUGUGAUGUUUUCCUGUGUUUUCGAGGCGACGACACGCGUCAUGGUUUCACCAGCCACCUCAUGUCUGCUCUGUGUGAUAGGCAAAUCCAAACCUUCAUAGACGACAAGCUCGAGAAAACAGAGAGCAUCGGUGAGCUUCAAUCCAUCCUCCAAAGAACUGCUCUUUCCGUGGUGGUUUUUUCUGUGAAAUUUGCGGAUUCGGUCUGGUGCCUCGAUGAGGUAGCAACCAUAGCUCGAAAGAUGAAAGAAUCUGGGCAUCGGGUUCUACCGGUUUUCUACAAAGUGGAUCCAUCAGACGUGACAGACGACGCUCGAAGCUAUGCGGCUACCAUCGAUCGUGAACAUAAGUCCAGAAGUAGUUAUGUAGAGGAUAAGAAGAGAUGGAUGGAUGCUUUGAAUGUUGUGGCUGAUUCUGCUGGCCAUACCUCACAGACCUUCAAGUAAGUUACUUGUUAAAGUUAAUUUUAAUAGUUGUUUCAUUUCUGUUAGAUUGAACUUUAAAUUGUGUUUCUUUUUUUCUUUGAUUUGUUUUGCAUGGGUGGAUUUUAGAAAUGAAUCUGAAUUGAUUAAGGUAAUUGUGGAAGAUGUUUUGAAGAAACUAAUUGGCUUGUCACCGGUUAUCAAGAAUGAUAACUUGGUUGCUAUGAGUUCACGUAUUUUCGAGGUUGAGCGACUACUGGCUAUGGACAAGGUAAAAGAGACUCGUGUCGUUGGGUUAUGGGGAAUGGGGGGAGUUGGGAAAACAACUCUAGCAAGAGCGUGUUAUGAAAGGAUAACUUGGUCCGACAAAGGGAUCAAGUGUCUUUUCAUUUCAAACGUCAAUGAAAAAUAUGGAAAACAUCUUGACGUUGAAGAAGUUGUUUGCAAAUACUAUUCAAAAUUGUUGAAUGAGGAUAACAUUGAUCGUGAAGAUUUGAAUAUUACUUAUCGACGGGGACGUCUGUCGCGUUUGAGGGUAUUCAUUGUCCUUGACAAUGUUGAGACUUCGCAGCAAUUGGAGCAAUUGAUUCUAGGAGGUAUCUCUGAUCUCAGCACAGUCUUUGCAACGGGAAGUAGAAUCCUCGUGACGACAAAAAAUAGAGAAGUGCUAAGAAAUGCUACGAAGGAGAUUUAUAAAGUUGAGUGUUUGAAUGCCAAGGAAUCCACCCAAUUGUUUAGUCUGCAUGCGUUCAAACACGACUUCCCUCAAAAUUGGACAGAUAAGUGUCGUCUUGCAACAUCAUAUUGUAAGGGACAUCCCUUGGCACUUAAGAUCUUGGGGGGUGCAUUGUGCAGUCGAGAUAUGCAUUAUUGGGAAAGUUUCUUGAGUGGGUUGAAGCAAACUGGAGACACAAAUAUCCACAACGUUUUUAGGAGGAGUUACGAUAUGCUUGGGGAGAUAGAGCAGAUAAUAUUUCUGGAUGUUGCAUGUCUAUUUGAUAGCAUACCAAAAUCUCAAUUGAUUGAGUAUAUGUCCACCAUGCACCCCGCUUCUCUUGUAAAGGUGGAAAUUCUAAUCGAUAGAUCCCUCUUAGCUUGUGUUUCUAACGAGAAGAUUGAGGUGCAUGAUCUACUUAAGGAGAUGGCUUGGAAUAUUGUCAACGGAGAACCAAAGCUUGGCAAACGCAGCAGAUUGGCCGAUCCUGAUGAUAUUCGUAAAUUGCUUAGGGCUCGAGAUGUUCACAAUUUUUUUAUAACUUCAGAAGUGAAAAAUUGGAAUACAUCAUUUCUCGGCUUCUUCAAAGCCAUAGGAAUGGUGGGCCUGCCAAAAAAGAGAGAUGGUUGGAAUGGUAUCGAUAUCCUUCAAAAUCUCUACCAUCAAAUUUUUAUCCUCAGCACCUUACCCAUCUCAUUAUACAAUUUAGUCCAAUUCAGAGAUGUUGGAAAGGACAUGACCAAGUAAGUUUUCUGAUGAUCUUCUAUUUGACCUCUUAAUUACUUACAAUCAUUAGUUAACCUUUUUCCUUUUUCUACAGCCCCAACUUGUGAACUUGUUGGUACUUAAUCUCUCCUACUGUAGGAAUCUAAUUGCUAUUCCAAAUAUAUCAAGUUCUUCAAAACUCGAAGAACUCUUUCUUGGUCAAUGUGAAAGCCUAGUUGAGGUACCUUCGCAUGUUCAAUACUUGACAAAGUUGAUAACAUUAGACCUUAAUGGUUGCCGAAACCUCAAGCGUCUUCCGCCUAGACUUGACUCAAAGUUGCUUAAGCAUGUUAGGAUGGCGAGUUGUCUCAAUGUCAGGCACUGCCCAGAGAUUAUUUCAAAAGAGUUGGAGGCAUUGGUUUUAUCUAAGACAUCCCUUAUAGAACUACCAAGUGCAAUUUACAAUGUCAAGCAAAAUGGAGUCUUAUAUCUUCAUGGUGAAAACAUUACCGAAUUUCCUGCAAUUACAACAAGCUUGAGGAGAUUUUCAUUGACCAGUACUUCAAUAAGAGAUAUUGGUUUUUAUGACCGUCACACUUCUUCUGAAUCGAUUAUGCCGAAAUUCAACACACUGCUUCUUUCUGGAAAUUUGCAACUGAAGAGCCUGCCGAGUAGCAUAUGGAACAUGGUCUCUUAUGAAUUCGAGAUUCAACAGUGCCCUUUGAUUGAAAUUUUGCCGGAGAUUUUGGAGCCUGUUACAGGCUUAACUAGUAUUGAUAUAAGUGAAUGUGGAAACUUCAAAAGCCUGCCAUCUAGCAUCAACAAUAUAAGAUCUCUCGAACGACUUGAUUUAUCACAGACAGGUAUUCAAUCUCUGCCGGAACUCCCACAAAAUCUGAAGUCAUUGAAAGUAAAUGGUUGCAAGUUUUUACAAGCUCUACCAAGCAACACAAGUGAGCUGUUGCAUCUGAAGCAACUCCAUUUUAACGAAUGCCCACAACUGGCAAAUUUCCUUGUUCAUCCCAUCUUGUAUCAGUCACAGGAGGUAACGUAAAUGCCACCCUGAUCUUUUAUCUCGAAAUAUAUAUGAGCUACGAGAAGAGAAGUGUUCAAAAUAAUUUAUGAUGCGUAUCUUUGUGGGUGACAGUGUCAACUUUUAUGUUCAAGAAGUGAGCUUCCUGAAUGGUUAACCUACAAAAGCAUGAACUUGAAGGAAGAGGACGAGGAUUCUUGCAAUGUGAAGGUAGAGUUGCCUCCUCCUCAUAGCACUGGCCAGCCAAUGAUUGUUAAGGGAAUUGCGUUUGGGGUUGUGUUCUCUUCCCGCUUUUGGUUGGAUAUGAGAUGCGAUUGCAAAGUCGGCAACGCCAUCGUUGCAUCUUGGAAUUGCAGUAACUGGUAUUUUUACAGUGAACGUGAUGAGUCAUCGAGAGAAAAAUUAUGGUUGCAAUACGACAAGAUGGCUGUGGGAAGUAAAGAAGACGUAGUGUGGUAUGUCAAAUAUGCUGGAGCCACUGCUACGUUCAAUUUUCACAUUCGUGACCGGUUUGGAACAGCCAAAAUAAAAGGAUGUGGGGUUUGUCUGCUCUACUAAAGUAGUUUGCAGGGGGAGGGAAAAGGACUUGCCAUGAUACAGGUACAUUGCUGAUGUUGUUAAAAGCUUGUUAUCCAGUUGAAUGUUCUCUUGUUGUUGUCAACUCUACUGUGGUUUCAUAUAGUUGCUUGUUGUUAACUCAUUAUUGACCUAUUGGUCACGCUAUAAUCGAUGUGUACAUGAUAUUUUUAAGACCAUGUCGAUUGUUUUUUUGGGUGGAAAAGGAAAACCUUAUAUAGUCAUUUAGUCUGUUAGUUAUUAGUUUUUUUAAGUUUGAAAAAAAGUUAAUUAGUUUCUUACUCGGUUUGUUCGGUUUUCCGUUGGUUAACCUAGCCAAACCAAAUUCCACCUAUCGGGUUUAAUUAAUACAUAUAGAAAGUAUAAUCUAUCGAUUUCGUGCAAAAAAAAUGGCACCACUUAUCGAAAGUAUAUUUUAUGACAUCAAUUUUGAAUGAAUUUAAUGGAAAUUGAUAAUUGGCAGCAUUGGCCGUUAAAAAUGACGGCAAACUUGACACUAUUAUAACAAAAAAAAAUUGGGUGAAAGUUGAUAGAUUGAGCUUUCUAUGUGUAUUAAUAAUUAAGCCUUAAAUCCAGAUUAUACUAAGAAACCCUAUUACAAUCCUAAUUUCUAAACUUUAGUUGUAAGGGUUUUGUUCUCGCGGUUACUAAACUGCAAAAAAGGAUACUGAAAUGCGCGCACGUUCUCGCAGUUAUUAGAAACAUCUCCUCGCCUGAUGCGUUACUUGCUUGCAUUCCUUGCAGAGAAAAAUUAAAAAGCUGUUAUCCAACGGAACAGCAAUUUAGUGGGUGGGACAUGGGUUGCAUAAUGAUCUACUUGGUACGCCUAUAAUCAUUUCGAUUGCUCAAGUUUAGCUUUUGAAACUUUAUUUUUUUAUACGAAACUUUUUUAUACGAAGUGAUCCCUAGGAUCAUGUCAGAAGUGAAGCAUGUAAGUUCAUCAAUUUGCACUUUCACGUUUGUUCGUUUGUGUUAUGAGAAUCGAUAAUUUUUUGAAAACGAUGUAUAUAAAGAAAUUGUCAUUUCUCAAAAUAUCUGUAUGGAAUCUAUAUAUCUAUGGUUGAGUUUUUACUAUAAAUAUAUACCUUUUGGUUUCAUUACUGGAUUAUUUUAUAAAACAAGGAUAAUAUUGGAAUUUUAAAUAAAUAUCAAUUUGAAAAUCCGUAAAACUUAACUUUUUGUUGAAUUUUGUUUUUGGUGUUUUAGAGCUCAAUUUUUCCAUCAAAUUUUGAAAUUUACUUUUUCUAUCAAACGAGGGAAUCUUAAAAAAUUAUUGUUUCACUCAAAACACAAACCAAAAACACCAAAACCAAACAUGUUAUAACUUGAAGACUUGAAUUUGUAACAUGUUAUAAAUUUCCAUGGCUGAAUUAGGAGCUGAUAGAUCACAAUUCUUGUUUUGCUUCAGCAUUUUUAAGGACCUGUAGCAGGUGCUCCUUUCAGGAAAUUAGGAUGCAUGACUUUUUCCGUAUGGUCGCGCGAUGUCGUGGAAUAUAAAAUUGAUUAUAAUUAGAUGUUCCGUAUUUGAAUUUUACGAGUCUCCUUUAAAAAGAGAAAGUAAAUUUACGAAUUUGAAGUUUGCAUAGGCCGAGCGUAGGUUGUGCUUAAUGGAAUUAGUUGGAUGAGGUAUUUUUGCAUAUGUGGUAUUUUGAAGUAAAUAAUGUGUUAUAGAAAGAAUGUGGUAUUUCUGAAGUGUAAGGUUUGUGAUGUGGUCAUGCGAAAAUUAUUUUGUUUUGGUGAAUGAGUUAAUUCAAUGUGAUAUUUCGUACAUGGAAAAGCCAAAUUAUUAGUUGAAAUACCACGAUUUUUUGAAGAUGUCAAACGAAUUAUUUUGAGCUGAAUAACUCAAAUUAUAUAACUCAAACAUUUGAUUAUUUUAUAUAAGGUAACAAUUAAAAAUAAAUAAAUCAACUAUUUUAUACAUAAAAAAAUCUCAUUACAUAAAUAUAUCAAUAAAAACUUAAUUGAACGAUUUAGACUCAACUCGAAUAUUUCAAUUUUCAUAUCCUGUUUGACCAUAUAGAGUUCAAUCGAAUUGUCAUCAUCAGAAAUAGUUGUUGUAAUUAAAAAAAAUAAAAACCAUUUGGAAGGAUAAGUGUUAAUUACGUGUAAGAUUAGGUAGGCCGGCCAUUAACCAAAAAAGUCAUCAAUUAUUCAGAAAACAAAUGAUUCAGUCGCAAUCUAAAGUCUUUGUUUAAUUAGCAUAAACUUGUUACAAUUAAAAAAGACCCCCUGACUCAUAAGUCUUCAAAUUAAUCUCAGCCGUCCAGAUGAUCUAUUCAUUGGCAGGAUAACACAAGUGAUCAAUUAUUCAUAACAUAGAAAAUUCAUUCACUCAUAAUCUAAACUCCCCCGCCCAACUUGUUCAUCAUGCUAUAAACAUAUUCAGAGCACCAGCAGAAAAAAGUCAUACAUCAUUUUCUGAGUUAAUGGCUGCAAUUUCUUCUUCUUCUUCUUCUUCUUCUUCUUCUUCUGCUUCUUCUUCUGCAUCUCAUAGCUCUCUGUACGAUGUUUUCCUGUGUUUUCGAGGCGACGACACGCGCAAUGGUUUCACCAGCCACCUCAUGUCUGCUCUGUGUGAUAGGCAAAUCCAAACCUUCAUAGACGACAAGCUCGAGAGAACAGAGAGCAUCGGUGAGCUUCUAUCCAUCCUCGAAAGAACUGCUCUUUCUGUGGUGGUUUUUUCUGAGA
rnacentral:lncRNA from 1 species